rnacentral:tRNA from 1 species
GGUAGAAUGGCUGAGGUGUUAGGCAAUAGAUUGUAAAUUUAUAUACGAGAGUUUUCUCUUCUACCA